ACUGGGACAGUAUAAUGUUUAGCACUGUUUCUGCAGGUUUGGUUUCUUGUGCCCGAGACAAACAGUAAUCCAGGCAACAAUUGCAGGUGUGUUGCGUCGAUGAGCAGAGCGUGGACGAACAGAGGGAAGCUGCUGAUUUUACGUGAGCGAAACGUGACAGAGGGAGACAUUGCUGAAGGCGAUAAUGGUUUCAGUUUUCCUAAUUUCCCAGAGUAUAAGUUGGAUUGAUUUUAUGAUAUUUUGAAUUGUGCUCACUCAAAAUAAUUGAAAACUAAUGGUCAUGAAACUUGGUUGUUAUUUUGAAGUAAUCUAUUAGUCCUACGGAAUUACUUAUUACUACUUCAUCUGGUGACAAGUUUGGCUGUUUGAGAACUUCAUCAAAAAAACAAGCCAGCAGAAUUGGGCAGCAGAGAAAAAUGGAAAUGGUUUGGAAAUAGCACAUGGACUGAUAAGGGAACAAAGAGGAGAAGUGGCAGUAUUGAAGCCAAAUGCAUGGUUUCGCUUUUAAAUGUGGAAAGUGUUUGUCGGAUGCGCAGCUCUGAGUUGAGGUUACAACUUCUUGUAGGUGGUGGUGAUGUCAUCACUGACUUGGAUUCUCUGUGUUGUUUUGAAAGUACUGGGAAAAUAAGAGCCUAAGGAAAAAACUUUGCUACCGAGAGCAAAAUGAUGUGCUGGUUGAAGGAUCACGGGUGGUUUGCCGUCGGUCCGAUUACCGACCCAUUUUGGAGUUGCGGGGUGUGUCCUGGCAGGGAGACGCGGUGCUGGCCCCUAACCGCAGAGAUCUGCUGCCGUCUCAAUCCAGCUGUGCCCAGCCCAGAGGCCUCCUCAGCUACCGGGCAAGGCUGCUGCUCGGCUCUGGGGUCCGCCAGCGCUCACCGGUUUAUCCACUGCGGAUUUCUUCCCCGAAUCUCCCCUUGCUCUGUCCUGCUCAUGUUUCCCUUGGAUGCUUGCAACUCGUGGCCCUGAGGCUGUGGAGAGUGGUAACAGGAGCAGCCGGUGUCGGCCCUGGAUGCUCUGGAAGCCCGUAGCUAUGAGGGCUGCUGGCGAGGAAGAUGCUGGGAGGACCAUUCUGGUGCUGUUGAGACAAUAACCGAACAGACUGGAAGUCUGGAGUGUGCAGACGCACCGAUGCUGAGAAGUCUCUGCCUGUGUGUUUCUGAAGCAGUUUUUGGUGAGUAAGGGAGGUGGGAGAGCUGCCCGCCACCUUCCCAGGUCUGCUCUGCCUUCCCAACCAGCCCUUCUCUCCCCUGCCCUCACCCACAGCGGGACUAUCAAAUCCAAAUGACCCAUGCCAUCACCUCCUGGAGCUCUUCCCAAAUGGGUGGUAGCUGUCAGGGAGCUGGCAGCGCCCGCGGUUGAGAAGUACAAUUAAGUGCUCUGAACCACUCUGCUGAGUGAUCUGGAUCGUGUACUGAAGCGUUUGCUGGCUCCUGACAGCCAGUUGCUGGGAGCUGUUGGUACUCCCAAAGGGUGCUGGUGCGGGGACGUGAGGAGCUGAGCAGAGGCAGGUGGUGGCUCAGGGGAAGGAGAGCGCUACAGCCCCCUGCUCCUCAGGCCCGGCGUUUAUGGGAUGGGUUUGUUUACGCAAAGUCAGAUCAGGCAUCCAGAACUCGGCUGAAUGGGGCAGCCAGCAACCUCAUCUAACUUUGAGGGUGGCCAGGGGGGUUGGACUGUUGACCUCCAGAGUUCCCUGCCAACGUCGCUCAUCUUAAUGUUCCGUGGUGCGAGUAGCGGGACCGACUGACGGCCCUGACAGUAAGUGUUGCCGGGGGGAAAAAAACUACUGUACCUUUUCA